AAUGGUAAUACCAAGUCUGGCAGGGGCGCAGUAAAACCACUCAGAUCACAGGCAGAACUGUACACUGGCAUGGUAUUCCGGGAAAACAAUUUAAUGUGCAUCAAGAGCCAGGACUGUGCUCAGUUCGACUCAGAGGUCACUUCUAUAACAUCCUCCCAAAUAAAUCAUCUUAAUGUCGUCAAAUCAAAGAGGGUCGCCUUGCCUCACGCCUGGCCUCGGAGGCAGUGAGAGAGAGACACGGCAGGCAGGAACCGCUGGGGAAGACAGGUUCCUGCACACGCAGGUGUGUGCUCAGCUCAGCACCUGCUCCUCAACCUUGGUGGCUAAUAAUCCCCAGGAGAAGACCUAAAAGGAAUGAUUCCAACGCCUGGUUCUCAGAGAUUUGGAUUCAACAGAUCGUGAGUGGGGCUGAAAUGUCUGAAUUAUUUUUCACCUCUGCAGUUAUUAUCAUUGCAUCUAGGCCUGAGAACCACUCUUAGCCAUGUGUUUGACCAGAAGGCUGAGCAAAUAGCUCUGAAGCCUGGUAGAACAGUGCCUGUCAAAUGUGCACGUGCAAAUGAUUCAGUGGGCACCUGGCAAAAAUGCAGAUUCGGACUCAGCAGUCUAGAGUGGGGACUGAAAAAUGUAGCUUGCUUGAAUCAUUCCAUCCCAUCUCAACGCAGGGGACAGCAACCCCAGACACGGGUGGAGGCUGCAGCCUCUUGGGUGAACGCCAAUGCCACGUGGCUUCUUUCUUCCUGGAGUACUUGGAAGACAAACAGACAACAGAUGGAGGGCGUUGUGAGGCAGGAGGGCCGGGGAGAUGCUAUCUGCAACCACGGAGGCUGACGCGGGCUUCCUGUCUUUGCUCGCUGCCUCCUGAUGAGAGUCCCGAUCAGCACCUUCAGCGCAUUACUCAAUGAUGUGCUCAGAGCCUGCGUGAGCUCCCGCUGCACACAC
rnacentral:lncRNA from 1 species